rnacentral:misc_RNA from 1 species
GAUGAAGAACGCAGCGAAAUGCGAUAAGUAAUGUGAAUUGCAGAAUUCAGUGAAUCAUCGAAUCUUUGAACGCACAUUGCGCCCCCUGGUAUUCCGGGGGGCAUGCCUGUCCGAGCGUUAUUACAACCCUCAAGCUCAGCUUGGUGUUGGGCCCCGCCGCCCCGGCGGGCCCUAAAGUCAGUGGCGGUGCCGUCCGGCUCCGAGCGUAGUAAUUCUUCUCGCUCUGGAGGUCCGUUCGUGUGCUCGCCAGCAACCCCCAAUUUUUUUCAGGUUGACCUCGGAUCAGGUAGGGAUACCCGCUGAACUUAAGCAUAUCAAUAAGCGGAGGA